AUACUGCUUUUGAUUGGACAGAAUUGGUGCCGGAGUAAGGAAGGGGCGGGCCAUCAAGGACCGAGGUGGGUGGGGCUCACGGCGGGUGUGCGGAGUGGGCGGGAAAACGUGGAGCCCGGGGAGAGGCCCCGCUGGGAGUUCUAGUUAGGCUUUGACAGUUGAUGACACCGGAAACUCCGGUAAGUCCUAUGAAAUUGCCCGCGGGAGUGUAAGUGGGUGAAAUUAGUCUUCGAAAGCAAAUUGACAAUAUGUAUCAAAUAUCCUUUGGUCCAGCAAUGCCACUUGCAAGAAUUCAAAGGACAUAAUCAAGGGUGUGCUGAAAAAGUUGUGUGACAAAGAUAUUAAUUGUAGCACUUAUAACAGCCAAAAAGCCCAAAACAAACCAACCAAAAAACUAAGGCAAUAUCCCAAAUGUUCAGCAAUGAGAGAUUGGUUAAAUAAAUUGCAACAAACUUUUAUACUUAUCAGAGUUUAUCGAGGUUUGCUGUUCCCAGGGCACCAGGCAAGGGCCAUAGGAGAAGCCUUCUCCUUCUACCACCAGUCCCUACAGUGAUUCUGACCAAGCAUGGACGCCCCGGGAAGGAAAACAACUAGGACCACAUAUAAAUAUACAAAAUCUAAAGUUUAUUCAUUCAAUUUCUUAAAUGUCCUAGUUUUUGGGGCAUACUAAGGCCCACAAAGGAGAUAUUGACAGCCCAGGGGAAGGAGGGAAUACCUCAUUCAUUUAUUCACUUAACUACUAAUUUUUAAUAAUAGCUGCUACCAUCUACCUAUUAUUGGGUACUGGGUGCCAGCACUGUGCUAAGCACUUUACAUACAUUGUCUCAUUUAAUUCUCGCAGCAAACUGUAUAAGAGACUGUGAGUGAACUCUCCGAGAGCGGGGAGACCUUGACUGGAUCUUCUGCCGCUAGCAUGGGGCCUGGCAGCUAGUGGUCAUAAUGAAAGCUGGCAUUUGAUGGUGAAGCACCAGGCAUGGCGCUCAAUGCUUUACACAUAGUAAAUCAUUUAAUCUGCAUGACAACUUGAGGAGAUGGCUUGUUCUAGAGGAGGCCAUGUCUUGAGCAUCCCUGUGGAGAAGUCAACGUGGCAAGGAACUGAAUCCUCCUGCCAACAGCUGUGUGAGUGAGCUUGCUGUGAGCGGACCCUUCAGCCCCAGUUACAGCCUUCACGUGUCUACAGCCUUGGCUGACUUCCUGACUACAAACUCCUGUGAGACCCUGAAGCGGGCCACCCAGCUAAGCAGCCUCCUGAUUCCAGACUCUCAGAAACCGUGUGAGAUAAUAAAUGUUUGUUGUUUUAAGCCAUUAUGUUUUAGGAGUUAUUUGUUUUGUAGCUAUAAAUGACAAGCACAAUAUUUCAAUAAACUAAACAUAUGGGGAAACAUCUUCUCUGUCCUCCUGGCCCAGAUGGCUUUCC
rnacentral:lncRNA from 1 species